GCCUGGGUGGCUCAGUCAGUUAAGCAUCUGACUUCAGCUCAGGUCAUGAUCUCAUGGUUUGUGGGUUCAAGCCCCACAUCAGGCU
rnacentral:tRNA from 1 species